AUGCCUUAAACUAAUGAAUAAGGAAAAUAAUGGUUGGGGUGACGCCUAAAUCCUCACUGCUAAUGUGAGAUGAAUUUUUCAGCUGGUAAAGGUCGACCCUAAGGUGACCUCCCUGCUUUACAGGAUUCCUGGGUGAACAAUCUGGCCUU